rnacentral:rRNA from 1 species
CGGGUGAGUAACACGUGGAUAACCUACCUAUAAGACUGGGAUAACUUCGGGAAACCGGAGCUAAUACCGGAUAAUAUUUUGAACCGCAUGGUUCAAAAGUGAAAGACGGUCUUGCUGUCACUUAUAGAUGGAUCCGCGCUGCAUUAGCUAGUUGGUAAGGUAACGGCUUACCAAGGCAACGAUGCAUAGCCGACCUUAGAGGGUGAUCGGCCACACUGGAACUGAGACACGGUCCAG